rnacentral:rRNA from 1 species
UACGAAGGGGGCUAGCGUUGUUCGGAAUUACUGGGCGUAAAGCGCACGUAGGCGGAUCGAUCAGUCAGGGGUGAAAUCCCAGGGCUCAACCCUGGAACUGCCUUUGAUACUGUCGAUCUGGAGUAUGGAAGAGGUGAGUGGAAUUCCGAGUGUAGAGGUGAAAUUCGUAGAUAUUCGGAGGAACACCAGUGGCGAAGGCGGCUCUCUGGGACGGUACUGACGCUGAGACGCGAAAGCGUGGGGAGCGAACAGG